rnacentral:rRNA from 1 species
GGAAAUCUCUCCAGGCCCGGACACUGGAAGGGUUGACAGACUUAUAGCUCUUUCUUGAUUCUGUGGGUGGUGGUGCAUGGCCGUUCUUAGUUGGUUGAGUGAUUUGUCUUGUUAAUUCCGUUAACGAACGAGACCUUAACCUGCUAAAUAGUGACGCGGUUCAUCGAACCGUGGGCCACUUCUUAGAGGGACUAUCGGAUUCAAACCGAUGGAAGUGUGAGGCAAUAA